rnacentral:rRNA from 1 species
UCCUGCUCGAUAUAGGGGGACCACCCUCUAAGCCUAAAUACUCUUCAGUGACCGAUAGUGAACUAGUACCGUGAGGGAAAGGUGAAAAGAACCCCUAUUAGGGGAGUGAAAUAGAACCUGAAACUGCAUGCCUACAAUCAGUCGAAGCUCUUUUUAGAGUGACGGCGUACCUUUUGUAUAAUGGGUCAGUGACUUAAUUUAUUAAGCAAGCUUAAGCCAUCUAGGUGUAGGCGUAGCGAAAGCAAGUCUUAAUAGGGCGAUUAGUUUAAUGAAUUAGACCCGAAAACGAAUGAGCUUACCAUGAGCAGGUUGAAAGUUGGGUAACACCAACCGGAGGACCGAACCAGUUGACGUUGAAAAGUCUUUGGAUGACUUGUGGUAAGGGGUGAAAGGCCAACCAAAUUCGUAGAUAGCUGGUUUUCCGCGAAAACUAUUUAGGUAGUGCGUUGAAUAAAUAGAUGUUUAGAGGUAGAGCACUAAAUGGGCUAGGGGGAAGAGAUUCUUACCAAACCUAAUAAAACUCCGAAUGCUAGACAUUGUUCUUCAACAGACAGACUGUGGGUGCUAAGGUCCAUGGUCGAGAGGGAAAGAGCCCAGACCACCAGAUAAGGUCCCAAAAUUAUGAUUAAGUGUGAAAGGAUGUGGAAAUUCCUUAACAGCCGGGAGGUUGGCUUAGAAGCAGCCAUCCUUUAAAGAUAGCGUAACAGCUCACCGGUCUAAUAGAGUUUCUGCGCCGAAGAUGUAACGGGGCUAAAAUCAUAUACCGAAUCUGUGGGUUUAUAAAACUUUCGAGUUUUAUAAGCGGUAGCGGAACGUUCUGUAAGCCUGUGAAGGGAUACCUGUGAGGGAUCCUGGAGGUAUCAGAAGUGCGAAUGCUGACAUAAGUAACGAUAAAAGAAGUGAAAAACUUCUUCGCCGAAAAUCCAAGGGUUUCUGCGCAAGGUUAAUCCGCGCAGAGUUAGUCGGCACCUAAGGCGAGGGCGAAAGCCGUAGUCGAUGGAAAUAAGGUUAAUAUUCCUUAACCAGAUGGUAGUGACGAAUCUUGUAAGUUGUAAGUUCUUAAUGGAUUGAACUUGCCGCGAAAAGGUUCCAAGAAAUAGCUCCAUCAUUAGACCGUACCCUAAACCGACACAGGUGGAUUAAUAGAGUAUAUUUAGGCGCUUGAGAGAAUGAUGUUGAAGGAACUCGGCAAAAUGCUUCCGUAACUUCGGGAUAAGGAAGACCUUUUUUUAGGCAACUAAAAAUGGGUGGCACAAGCCAGGGAGAAGCGACUGUUUAUCAAAAACACAGGGCUCUGCUAACACGUAAGUGGAUGUAUAGGGUCUGACGCCUGCCCGGUGCUGGAAGGUUAAUGCGGUUGGUGCAAGCUAACUUCUGAAGCCCCAGUAAACGGCGGCCGUAACUAUAACGGUCCUAAGGUAGCGAAAUUCCUUGUCGGGUAAGUUCCGACCUGCAUGAAUGGCGUAACGAUUUCUCCGCUGUCUCCAACAUCAACUCAGUGAAAUUGAAUUCUCCGUGAAGAUGCGGAGUUCGCGUAGUUAGACGGAAAGACCCCGUGCAC